AAGGUCACUAGCAAAAACACCUACACACACCACGCUCAUCACUCAAAUCACCUUAACCCCCUGGUUUUAUGCUGGAAGAAAAGGGUUUUGACAAAAGUCUUACGACAGCUGAAGGAAGUCCAUACACCUCUGGUGCCAUGCCAGCCACCCCAAUACUCAUCUUCAAGUAUCAUUUGCCGUGACUGUAAAUGGAGAGCAGAUCUGAGACGGAUUCCCCGUAAGGCUUGGCUGGAUACAGUAUUAGGCCCCGGUAUCUGAACUCAUAUCACUCAAUACCUUUUGUGUGUCUCUCUGUAUAAGGUGUCAAAAUGCAUCAAAGCCGAGAAGCCCCAACGCAGUAAGGAAGAAAUGAAUAAUAUCUCAAGUACUGACUUUGCCGAAUCCUUACAAAUUUAGAGUAUCAUUUCAUUUAUUAAAAAUGAGAUUAAACAUACCAACUCCACCGCCGCUGACCACAAGGCACUACAGAGGGUGAUAUGCUCAGUGGAACGCACCACUGGGUGCACACUGCCUGCCCUCCAAGACACCUUCAACACCAGAUGUCGUAGCAAGGCCAAGAAGAUCAUCAGGGACAGGCACCCGAGCCACGGCCUGUUCACCCCACUUCCAUCACUCAGACGUGUGCAGUACAGGAGCAUCUUGACUAAAUCUAACAGACUGGCCAAUAGAUUCUACCCCCCCCAGACCAUCAGGCUGCUGAAUAGCCACCCAAUGGACAUUUAUCAUGCUGAAUUAGCCACCACUAUUCCUUAGACUUGAACCCCACCACCAGCAUGUAGCUGUUUUCAUACUAUAUGUUAUUUUUCAGGAAGUGAGCCAUUUGUAGAUGAUUGAUCAUGCCAUGGGCCUUGCCCUUGCUCAGUGGCUGUGAAAGGGGUGAGGGGAGGGACGGGGAUCUGACACGAACAUCAAGGACCCACAGUAAGUACUACAUGACCGCAACCCCAUUGAUUCCCUCAGGAAGUCCUUGACUUGGAACUACAGUAAAAACAAUAGACUUAAAUGGAGGAAUCAAGGUAUAGCAUUAGGGGGUAUAUAUAUCGUUAUGUAAUGUAAAUAUCCAUCUCUCUCUCUCUCUACAUCACACUACUGCUAUUGGGCCAAGUAUUGACGUCUGGUGCGCUGCAAUCUGGUACAUAUAUAUGUACAGUAUGCUGGGUGUGAAUUCAACCUCAUCAAGUCAUCAAGAGUAUCCGUCAUAAUGCUAAUAAAUGAUAACUUAUUUCCUCACUACUUGAAACACAUCAAAAAUUACCAUAAUCACAUACGAUGUUAUUAACUAACUAGAGCUAGAGAAAAGCUGAGAAUUUAAUUGAGAAUUAAUGUAGACAAAUAUUUUCUAAAUGUCAGGUACACAUAAAGAGCUAAAGGUUGCUGUAGAGUCCUUACAAAAUGUUUGUCUUUCUGUCCAUGCGAGUUGCAACAACGGUGUGAUUGGUAUGCAGAAACCGUCGCUUAUGAAUAUUUGAGAAAGCAACAAUAAUUGCGUACUCCACUUAUUCAUCCUUGAAUAUUUCAUCCCUUUGAGUUAUUUUAUAAUUAACUAAAUACUGUACUGUUAGAUUGCAUGAAUGCCAGUGCCUCUCUCCUUCUCUUUGCUGCCUCUCAUUCUCUUUCUUCCUCAGAUGCUUUUACAACAGUGCACAACAUGAGGAAUGUGUAUUCAUUUAUUUCAGAGAGACAGUGGUAUCCUAAAUUGCAUCACAAUUUGAAAACUAACACCUUUUGUCAGGCUCAGAUGUGCACUGGACCCUGAAAUCUACCACAGCGAUGUGGGUGUAGCUGGCCUCAGUAAUAAGUUAUUUAAGUAGAAGAGUGUGUGAUUUCCCACAGAUCUACGGAUUCGGCUGCAAACUAGCUUAUUUCUCUCAGUCAAAGGUGAUCGUUAUGGCUGCAGGCUGCGGGCUGUCUGCAGUUCAAAAGUACGUGUUUGCUGGGCUGGAGUUUGUGAUUCUUGUAAAAAGAAGAAGCAAGGCAGGCAGACUGUACAGUACGUUGCUGCUGCCAAAUGUGUACACAGUACAUUGCUCCCCUAGGGCUGCUGACCAAAGGUCUACGCUGAGUCUGCUAGAAAAUGUUUUCAUUGUAUUAUUCAUCCACUUGAUAAAUUCAUAGACUAAAGCAAAUCCAGUUAUUAGGUUAUGGUUAAUUCACCUCGUUAUUUUACAAUUAGCCUUUUCCUAACCUUGUGUUUCUAUAUGUGUUCAUAAAAAAGGUGUGCUCUGUAUGGCACAGUUGUUCACCCAUAGAGAACGUGCUUUGGACAUGUUGUUCACCCAUAGAGUAGAAGACAUGUUUGGACAUGUCAUUUCUCUAUGUCACACAUAGAGAAAGUGUUCUGCAUGUAAUCCACCCAUAGGAGACAUGUUUAGGACACAUUGUCCACCCAUAGAGAACAGGUGUUGGACAUGUUAUCCAGCCACAGAAGACAUGUUUGGACCAAUACUGUAUCGUAUAUAAACCCUGGAUUGAUGAUGCUAUGCAUUGGUCAUUGAGAGGCUUUGAAGCCACUGGUCAGCCAUAUUGGCACUCCCCAGUAGGAGCAUUCCUCCACAGAAACUAAUGGAAUUCUACACUAUUUUAA